rnacentral:lncRNA from 1 species
UCCCUAAAACGAUUGGUUAAAAUUUAAUGCUCCGGUGUAUACAUCACUGACUUCGCUCGAGCACAUUAGUUCACAAUUCUGCAAGCAUGGCCUACCAACUACUGCAGCCAAGAGUUUCUGGGCGCUUUGGAACUCUACGUCGACGCGGAAAUAUUUCGCCGAGGCCGAAGCCAUGGACGUCGAUGCUAUGUAGAUGCCAGUUCCAGCAGAAAUUUGAGCGGCUGCUUUCAGCAGUCGGGAAACAAAAAAAAAAUUAACACGGGCGUCCUCUACACGGACCUCCUGAAAGACAGACGCAGACCUACCUCAGCAUAGUUUGUUGAGCUACCACGGCUGGUCUAUUUGUCGCUCUUGCAUGGUGCCUGGAUAACUGACGAGAAGGAAAAGGUCACAGUAGCGCAGCCACAGGAAAAUAUUUCUGCAUCAGCCUGCACACGGUGCGCUGGAUCAAGGGUUCACGCCAACGUUAUUGAUGGAAAGAGGGCUGAGUUCUUGACUAUUUUUUUCAGAUUUUUUUUCAAUUUGCAAGGUUUAUAAGAGAUUUGAAUGCGAAAACUGCCUCAGACGAAACAGGAGCUUUCACUAACGGACAACUUGUACGCGCAGCUGUUGUGCUUCACAAAACGUUGUAGUGUAGUCGUCAUCAUCAUUAUCAUGACCAGGCUGAUUAUGCCCACAGCAUGGCAAAGGCGUCUCCCACAGCGCCGGUGCUUGUCCGUCCGGUGUCUUUGCGUCUCUUCAGAGCUGUUUACGUAGCUGUGGAAUACCAACUAGCCCGGUCUCACACCUUCCAUCUGUCAUGUUUCGCCAGUCAAACCAGUCCUGUGCUAGCUGCAGCCACGUCAUCCACGCUAAGUCAAUAUCAUCUGCCCACCUCACUUUCUACCUCGCCCUCGCCCGCGAAAGAAAGGCAGCCACAAAAAAAUGCGUAGCUUACACUUGUGGCGCAAGGCUCAAGACAUAGCGGAGCUGAUCGGCACAGCUGGUCCUGUCGUUUUCGAGGUUAUGCGAGUUUAUGACAAGUAAUGCGAGGUUGUGCAAAGUAUUGCGAGUUUAUGCCAUGCGGUGUUGGUCGUGACGUGACUAGUGCCACGUGUGACUUGCCACGUCAAAUUAUAUGUUGUCACGUGACACUAGUCGCGCCACUAACCACGUGCCACAUGACUAGCCACGUGACAGUUCGUUGCCACUAGUCAGGUGGCAACAAACUGCACACGUGACUUCAGUCACUUUUCGCGUGAAACUAGCCAUAAUAUAGUUGGCACAUAAGUAUUCGCGGGACACUAGUCCCGCCACUAACCACGUGCCACAUUACUGGCCACGUAACAUUUUGUUGCCACUAGUCAGGUGGCAACAAACAACUCACGUGACGUUAGUCACGUUUCACGUGAAACUAGUCACACGAAACUAGCCAUAUUAUAGUAGGCACAUGAGUAUUCACGUGACAAUAAUCACUUGAGUAGUCACGUGACAUUUUGUGGUCGCAUGACACUAAUCACGUGAACGGUGGCGCGACAUUUUGUUGUUACAUGACAGAAGUCAGGUGAAAUUCACGUGGCAUUUUGUUGUCACGUGAUAUCAGUCGAGUGACACUAGUCGCGUGGCUAGUCACGUGAAAAUGUGACGUGACCAGCCACUGGACAUUUCGUUGUCACAUGACACUAGUAUAACGUGACGCUAGUACCGCGAGUCACUAGUCACGUGACAGACACGUGACUAGUAACGUGACAGCGACAUCACGGCACAUGCGCAGCUGGUGGUAGUUAUGCGGAGUCAGGUCUAGGUCUCGCGGAGCAGAUGCGGCUCGGCUGUGACAUUAGGGGUUGCUAGGGAACGCGAAACGCUGCUAGGCGGUUUUCUGCGGGCACCGAAGUCUUUACGGCUGGCUUAAACAACUCCGCUGUAAAAAGGGCAGAAAAAGGCGGCGCUGGGUGAGGGGAGGUGCAGGUAACGUGAGAAAAUGCAACAAAUCUUUACAGUCCGAUACGUUUCGCUCGCACCACCUAAGAACAAAGGCACCCGAGUAGUGACGACGUGCAUGUUUCAGUGUGUCAAUGGAAAUGCCAAUCACACACGCAGUCUCCGACUUCCACAUGUUGUCCAUGUUAUUCAGUCGUAGCUCAGCGCAAGGCAUGGCUGCUCUAUCAAAAUUACGUAGUGUCACUCCGCUUGACAUCAAAAUGUUCUUGCCUAAUAAAAUUUGUCGCAAAGAAAUUUAUUAUUAUUCACAAGACGGUGCAGAGACAAAUAGCACAAUCGUAUGGCUUAUGUAUUGCUCGUGUAAACAAUCAUUCACAAUGGUUUCUGCCAUAUGUGUUAUCUCGUUUCUGUUUGUCAUAUGCUGAUGAGCACUAGGUGAAUAUCCUGGACACACGUGCCAUGAUUUUCUACUCAAAUGCCAUGCACCCAAUUUCCAUGGUCACUUCAAUUGAAAUAGAAAGGCAUAGCCGCUUUUCAAACACCACUAAAUUAUUCUGAUUCAUCCAAAGCUAAAUACCUCCAAUUGCUAAUUUCAAUACCUCAAAAGGAACACUUGGAUCAAUGUAGUAGAAGACGGGGCACAUCCAAAACAAAGGUCAACCUAAAGCUAGACCUUGUGGCUGGUUGAUUCAGCCUGCGGAACCAACAGCAUCGCAAACCUCUUGACGUUUUUUUUUUUUUCCUAUCUUCCCCUUGGCGAUAGAGGUUCGAAUGCCAGUUCUCACGAAGACGGCUUUCUUGGCACGCUAUUCCCUUGCGCCCUUUCAAGCCCCUUGUUUCUGACGUGUCUUGAGGAACAAUACGUCGUCUUGUACUUCAAGAGGAAACAAAAAAAUAUAGAAAAACCCACCACUCUGCGUCGGAAACUACUACACCCUGUGUACUUACAUUGCUUCGCAAUCUUGUUUCUUUUCCUAGGAACGCCAUUGAAUCGAUUGAAUCGUCCCUAGGGGCGAGCAGUGAGCUCCCCGUGCGGAAAUGAUGUGAGACAGCGGGGCCCACGUGAAAGUGUUCCCGCAGUUCAUGCUCCGUCGUUUCCUGUUUGCUGAGCGUGAAAGUUCUUCGCUGGACCCCUUUCGUUGACAGAGGGGGAGCGUGACAAGGAUAUACCUCCCCGCUCAGACCUCUGGGGAGUGUCACAAAACUUCUCAAACUGCGAGAGUGUUUGCGAAUUCCCACUUGAAUUGAAGCCUUUCCUCUUCUUUUUAACGUGCAAAGAUGUAUCGAUGAAUUGCGAGAAAUAAGCCAUGCACUUGAAAAAUGCAUCGCCCAUGCGCUCCGUGCAGCUGGUUAACAAGCGAAACUAAAACGUGUGUACCCGGUGUUUAUCACAAACUGGAACCUGUCGAAGUGUAUUUUGCGGCAGCUCUUGAUUUCUAUAUCACCAGAUUUCAGACAUGUGUUCUUCAAAGUUUGUUUUUGGUGACGUUAGUUUAGAGGAUAUUAUGAACACCUAAAGGAAUUUUGGGCAGCGAUUCAUGCUGCGGCGGGUCUCAUUUCUACCUAUGUAUACUGACAAAAAUAUGAAGAGAAACUGUAGGGCAAUAGCGGAGACCACUAAAGGUAGCGUAUGCUAGAAUUGCGGCUUCAUUGUGGCUUCGGCGCAAUCACAGGCCGCGACAUUUUUGAACCUCCUAGACAUUCGCAUCUUCCUUUAAUAUAUCGCCCAUUAAAGAAAACUCCCUGUUGCAUUUUUGCUUGCUGCUCAAAUUCUGUCGCCAGAGACCACCUUCAAUGAAUUCGGCGUAGAAUGCGUGUCGCUGAUGAUGAGCGUGUGUCACAAACGAGCGCGUCAACAAUGAGCGCGCGCGGCCACUUUCAAACGGCAGCGGGCAAGCACGGCCCCAGCCGCUUGCCCAAGAAUCGCGAACGACAAAAAAAACAAGCAUUAAAAGACGCCGGUGCCCCGACAUUCCUCCUUACCCACUCGAAAGAACCGCAGACAACCAGAUCAAAUGCCCGGCAAAGUCUAGAGCUUUAUAGAGGGAAAGCGUGACGCGACGCCGAGCGACGCCGCCGCGAGUAGAACCGGCGAGAGAAAUCUCGAUCCUUCACUAGGCUUGACUGUGCUGCACGGCGGAGAACGCUCCCGACGCUUCUAGAACCCGGGGGAGAGGAGAUAAAAGCGUACAACGACCACCAGUGAGCAAUGAGUGAGACAUUUAGUCCGGAGAUGGGGAAGUUAUGCUGAGUGUGGCUCCGUUAGCCAAAGAAGACGUGUUUAUGAUGUGCGGUCAGUCGGUCGUCGAUCUGGAACAAUCGAAUGACAACGCCGUGUGAGCAGUGACAAGUUAUGACGACGAAGGAGCAACGACAGACAGCGCUGGAGUUGGCGUGAGUGUUUCCUAGAACAGAAGCAUUCAAGUACCGCCCAAGAAUUGUGGACUGGAUACGCCGUUGAAUAUUCAGCACUUUAACUGUUCUUGAAUAGUUGUAAUGCAUGAGAUUGCAUUUGUAGCGCGUGAUCUGUUCGUUUAAUUCCAGUUGUGUUAAAACCAUGUGUGUUAGAUUGUGAAGUUGUAAGUGGUACCAGCCCAGUGUGCAUGUGUUUGAGAUGUUUGUAUUGCAUUAACUGAAAAUAUAUUUCGUUUGUGUUAUCGACUCUUCGGUCUUUGGACCACA